AGAAGAAGAAGAAGAAGAAGAAGAAGAAGAUGAAGAUGAAGAUGAUACAUGGCUUGUCCUGGAAAAGUUUGUGUUGGGCAUGUUUCAUGCGUUCUGGAGACAAACUAAUGCAAUGGUUGUGAAGCUCAUGGUCCUGAUUCAGGUGACUCUGCUGUGACAUCAUCAUCAUCAUCAUCAUGGAGGCAGGAAUCAAAAAACAAAGCAGGAGGAAAGAGCGGAGAGCGUCUGGAUAUCUGUUUUCUGUCCCACCACCAGAGGGCAGCAGAGGCUCAGGAGAAUCUGUGCUGCUGUGAUUUCUGCUCCUUAAAGAAGCUCAUGGUUAAGAUAUCUAUGAGUAAGAAGCUGUAACGCAGCUCUGAGUUCAGCUGAACGAGAGUGAGGUCUCUUUUUAACAGCACGCACUCAGACAGCAUUAUGUAAGCAGGAAUAGCUCCGUGUGGCUGACCUGUUUACGGAGAUGUGGUUCUCUGGGUUUUCAGAGGCUCGUGAGAGCUCCACAGUCUCAGCUGUGACUCCACAGCAGCUGGAUGAGAGCAGGGUCACCUCACCGCCACCAGAUGGUGCCAAAGUGAAGCGGGUUCAACAAGGAAGAGCGGAGAAAGAAGGCAUUUUUAUGAAGCUGGACAUCAUAAAGCGAGGAAACCUUUCAAAUAAAAUACGAAUUAAAGUCUAAUGUGGAUAUUUGUAAACGAUAAGUGAGAAGUAUAGCACCUCGAAGUAUUACUUUAUUUAAAAAAAAAAGGAAAAACAUGUAGAUUGAAUUUGUGCCAUAAAAUUCAGGGUAGAGUUUCACAACAUUGAAUAAACACUCAAACAUUGGAAUUGUAA